AUGGCCCGGAUUGCCCCGCUCCUGCUGGUGGCGCUGCUCUCCCUAGCCGUGCAGCUCCCGCCGUCCGCGGCUUGCCCAUCCUGCCCCAAACCAAAGCCUCCGCCGCCACCGCCGCGUAAGCUGACGCCUCCGCCGUCCGUGCCCUGCCCUCCGCCGCCACACUCUCCCAAGCCUACACCACCGCACACGCCUACCCCAAAGCCAACACCACCUCACACCCCAACCCCCAUGCCUACCCCGCCACACACGCCUACCCCCACGCCAACACCGCCUCACACGCCCAUGCCACCACACACUCCAACCCCGGCGCCAACACCGCCUCACACGCCCACGCCGCCGCACACCCCAACCCCCGCGCCAACACCGCCGCACACGCCAACCCCUAUGCCCACACCGCCGCACACGCCAACCCCUGUGCCCACACCGCCAUACACGCCAACGCCACCCUCCCCAAUCCCUCCUACACCAACCCCGGUAACCCCGCCAUCACCUGUUCCAUCCCCGACACCGUCACCGCCAUCAGGCAAGUGCCCAGUGGACACGCUGAAGCUACUGGGAUGUGUGGAUGCGCUCAACGGGUUGGUGCAUGCUGUGAUAGGUAGCAGUGCAAGCGACACUUGUUGCCCUCUACUGGCCGGCGUGUCCGGUGUUGACGCCGCACUCUGCCUCUGCACCACCAUCGAGCUCAAGGCGCUCAACAUCAACCUCGUGCUGCCGAUCGCCAUUCAGGUGCUUGUUAACCAGUGCGGCAAGACAGUGCCUAGCGAUUUCCAAUGCCCUAUGACGCCGCCAUCGCCUGUCACCCCACCACCGACCCCUGUUACUCCUUCGCCUACACCAAAAACGCCGCCAUCCCCUGUCACCCCACCACCGACCCCUGUUACUCCUUCUCCUACACCGAAAACGCCACCGUCGCCUGUCACCCCACCACCGACCCCUGUUACUCCUUCGCCUACACCGAAAACCCCGCCAUCUCCAUCACCGCCUGCAACACCGCCGACUCCUAUCACUCCUUCGCCUACACCACCAUCUCCUAUCACUCCACCACCGACUCCGGUUACUCCACCAUCACCGCCGAUGGGCAAAUGCCCAGUUGACACACUGAAGUUGCUAGGGUGUGUGGACGCACUCAAUGGACUGGUGCACACGGUGAUCGGCAGCAGUGCCAGCGACACAUGUUGCCCACUCUUGUCCGGUGUGGCCGGCCUCGACGCCGCGCUCUGCCUCUGCACCACCAUCGAGCUCAAGGCGCUCAACAUCAACCUCGUGCUGCCAAUUGCCAUCCAAGUGCUCGUGAACCAAUGCGGCAAGACAGUGCCCAGCGACUUCCAAUGCCCUGCGACUCCACCAUCGCCGACACCGGUGAUGCCGCCAUCCCCACCAGUAAUGCCGCCCACCCCUGUUACACCGGUUACUCCGCCAUCGCCGACACCAAUUACACCACCUAUUACACCGGUUACUCCGCCAUCGCCGACACCAAUUACACCACCAACGCCACCAUCCCCUGUGGCCCCGGCCCCAGUCCCAGCGACGCCACCGCCAUCGUCAUCAACGGGCAAGUGCCCCAUCGACACGCUGAAACUGUUGGGGUGCGUGGACGCACUCAACGGGCUGGUGCACGCACUAAUCGGCAGCAGUGCCAGCGACAAAUGUUGCCCGCUGUUAUCCGGUGUGGCUGACCUCGACGCAGCCCUAUGCCUCUGCACCACCAUCAAGCUCAAGGCGCUCAACAUCAACCUCGUGCUGCCCAUCGCCAUCGAGGUGCUCGUCAACCAAUGUGGCAAGACAGUGCCCGACGACUUCCAGUGCCCUAGUUAA
rnacentral:rRNA from 1 species